rnacentral:lncRNA from 1 species
ACUACUCAAGUCUCGGCAGAAAUUCACUACAUUGCCGAUAAAUGCGCAAAGUUUCACUAUAUUCCGUGCAAGUUCGAGGAGCAGUGGAGAUGAUGAUAACCUCUUGUUUCUUUUUUUCCUAAAAAGAAGGAAUGCUUUCUCUUACAAGGGCAAGUUUGAAAAGGUAAACACAAUCGGUUGGCCCUGGCUUGACCACAUCAAUCAACCUGACAAAAGUCAAUAAUAGAAGCUAAACAGUAGAGGCAUCAUCAAAGAGUGUGGCUCAUGUCACUGUCCUCCACGGCAUGUCCUUGUCGAUACUGGUACAGCCGGAAGCCAUCAAGGCUCUUCCCAGUCUACAGAUUGGCAGAUGGUCAUCAGCAUUCAGCACCUCUGGAAAAUUCUGCAGCAUUGAACAUUUGAUCAAGUCAAAAAGAAGACAGUGGACGUAUAGAUCAUAUAAGGAAUAGCAGGGCAUUGUUGAAAAGCAAGCACGCAUGACCAAGACUCCAAGAGUAUCCUCUCAAAGAAAAGAAAAUAGACUUAAGAGUAUCCGAAGCAACCAAAACUGGAAUCAGUAUGCUCACAGCAAUGGGGCUGGUGAGCUUGCUAUCAUCACUUGCUGCCAUCCUGAUGAUGGUCGUCGUG